CGCGAUGGACUUCUUGGAUAGCAUGUCGGUGAAGCCCGCCGAGGAGAAGAUCCGAUUUAUCCAGAGCUUACCAGAAC
rnacentral:rRNA from 1 species